UAGGAACCUGGUGGAUAUAAAGAGUAAUUUUCUUCAUCCUCUAAACGAAAUGUUGGAUUAAUGUUACUCUGACUUGAUGUACUUGCGUUGGAAACGUUCGACGGGGUACGAUGAUGUGUGUACGAAGGAAGUCUUGAUGCAGAAGAAUAUAUUUUGAAAUAGUGUUGAAUACUUACUGAUAAUCCGGGUGUACAAAAUAAGAUGUAUCAGGCGGGUUGCGUCUUACCGAUGAAACAACUGUAUAGACUGGUGGUCCAUAGUCAGGAAAUGGUGCAACAUUUCCUAAGUAAAUUGUAGGUCCCCUUUCUAUACGUUCAACUCUACCCGUAUCAGAUGGAGUCAGUCCAUGUUCGGAAGGAUAGAAAAGGACCAAACCCAAUUGGAGUUAAUUAGGAUUCUACUGGAAGCAUGCAGGGAACUUUUUUACGCUCGGUUAUUGCUAUGUACCCAUAAUAUUUAAGAUUGAAUAUAAUAAAAGUAGGUAAUGUUUUUUUUAGAUUCAAUAAUGUAUAGCAUACGUUUAUACUUUAUCAAUAAUAAAGAUUUUAUAUAUAUGUAAAUGUAUUAAAAAUGUAAUGCAAGCAUUUAAAUAUAUUAGAGACAUAUAUAACUACAACAUUGUUACUUACAAUAGACAUCUUAACAAAUUACUUAAUUUACUGAUCCUAUUAAAAAAAAAAAGAAAAAAAAA